UCCCUACAUUGUCUGCCUCCGAGGAACUAAUAUCGCCUAAUCCCUUAUUUAUUUAAAAAAAAAAAAAAACUCAGGCCAGUAUCUAUAGCUAAAAGUUUAAGCUUUGAGAUGCCCAGAUCGUUGCUACCUCUUGCUUCGUUUGGCUUCCCAGUUGGCUCAGUCUCUCACGACGACCUAGAGAGAGAGAUAGAGAUAGAGAGAGAGAGAGAGAGAGAGAGAGAGAGAGAUGGGGGCAGCGUGGAUCGCAACGACUAUGGUAGUGGUGGUGUGUUUGGUAGGUGCAUCAUCAUCGGUAGAGUAGCUGAGCACUAGAGAAUGUGAGAAUCUUGGUUUCACUGGGCUUGCUUUGUGCUCUGAUUGCAACAGUUUGGCUGACUAUGUCAAAGACCAAGACAUGUACCUGAUUCAUAGCACCAGAGGAACUUGACUCGAGUUCCAUUGUUUCUGUUGCUCCAACUAACCGGGAAGAGGUGCAUACUCUCUAUAGCCUCAUAUAAACGCAAAGAGUUGUAGGAAGGAAUUGAACUAGUGUCCUGCCUCGUACAUAUGCAGAAAAUCUGUGUUGCUGACUCUCCUGCCUUUCAUUGUAUAAGAGCCUUUUGGGAACCACUUCUGCUCUGCACCAGUAAGAAAAUAAGUGUUGCGUUUUUGAAGUUAGGUAUGUCAAGCACCAAACCAUUGGUGUAUCUGACCUUGCAUAGUUGUGGCUGUACUAAGGCUUCUAGAGCAUAUGGCUGAUGGUGUGAUAUCUAUGUCCGUCAUGCACUCUAAGGAUGGCAUGAGUUAAUAGCUGAUGCAACAUCUUGUUGAGGAAAUCGUUAAGCUUUUCUCAUAGUGCUGGUUGAGAAUUCUCUUAAAUCAGUAGCUCUAUUGCUUUACCACGUAUACCUUGCAUUCAAUUGGAACCAAACUUUGUAUUUGAUGGAUAAAAGAUAAUCUUGCAACUGCCACGAAGUUAUAUGAAUCUGCCUUAAAACCUUACACCAGGAUUGGAGCUUAUGGCUAUAUUACUAUAAUGUCUAAUGAAUGCAUCUACUUAGUAUUUAGUUGCAAAUUUCAAGUGACUUUAAUAUAUUUUGUGUAAUGGUUCCGGUUGAACUAUGGUUGAGAAAUUAAUCUAAAUAUUCUAGACUUA